CUCCAUCUGAUCCAGCUGUCCCUCUUCCAUUCUCCAGGAAUGAAACAAGUGCCUGUGCAGCAGGAAACAUUCCCUGAAGGAAGCAGUGAUUCUGUGCCUAACUCUGCUGCAGGAAGGGAGGCCAUGCCAGGCACAGUUUCAGGAGAUAAGGUUCCUGGCAAAGUUUCUCUAUUAGCUUGGCUGCAUAAUGUUGUGAAGCCCACUGGGCCUCCUGCAGUUACAGGUGUGUCUGCAGAGAGGACUUUGCCAGCUCCUGACCUGGUUACUGCACCCAAGCCCGGCUCCCAUCGCAGCAGUUCUCCAAGACAGAAGACCCAAGAUACAGCAGAAGAGAAAUCCCUGAAACGAUCAGAACUCAUACGGAAAAUGCUGAAGGAAUUCAAGCAGGGAGGACAAGG